UCCGUAGGUGAACCUGCGGAAGGAUCAUUACCUAGAGUUGUAGGCUUUGCCUGCUAUCUCUUACCCAUGUCUUUUGAGUACCUUCGUUUCCUCGGCGGGUCCGCCCGCCGAUUGGACAAUUUAAACCAUUUGCAGUUGCAAUCAGCGUCUGAAAAAACUUAAUAGUUACAACUUUCAACAACGGAUCUCUUGGUUCUGGCAUCGAUGAAGAACGCAGCGAAAUGCGAUAAGUAGUGUGAAUUGCAGAAUUCAGUGAAUCAUCGAAUCUUUGAACGCACAUUGCGCCCCUUGGUAUUCCAUGGGGCAUGCCUGUUCGAGCGUCAUUUGUACCUUCAAGCUCUGCUUGGUGUUGGGUGUUUGUCUCGCCUCUGCGUGUAGACUCGCCUCAAAACAAUUGGCAGCCGGCGUAUUGAUUUCGGAGCGCAGUACAUCUCGCGCUUUGCACUCAGAACGACGACGUCCAAAAGUACAUUUUUACACUCUUGACCUCGGAUCAGGUAGGGAUACCCGCUGAACUUAAGCAUAUCAAUA
rnacentral:rRNA from 1 species